UUCUUUAUAUAUAUAAUAUAUAUGUGUGUGUGUAUAUGUGUGUAUAUAUACGUAUAUAUACACACAUACAUAUAUGUACAUAUAUAUACACACACAUACAUAUAUGUACAUAUAUACACA
rnacentral:miRNA from 1 species